rnacentral:rRNA from 1 species
ACAUACGACCAUACCUAUUGGAAAACUCGGGAUCCCGUCCGCUCUCCCAUAGAUAAGCCAGUGAGGGCCGGAUUAGUAGUUGGGUCGGUGACGACCAGCGAAUACCUGGUGUUGUAUGUU